UGCCAGCAGCCGCGGUAAUACGGAGGGUGCAAGCGUUGUCCGGAUUCACUGGGUGUAAAGGGUGUGUAGGCGGGGCGGUAAGUCAGAGGUGAAAGCCCACGGCCUAACCGCGGAAUUGCCUUUGAUACUGCCGUUCUUGAGUCUCGGAGAGGUCGCUGGAAUUCGUGGUGUAGCGGUGAAAUGCGUAGAUAUCACGAGGAAUACCGGAAGCGUAGGCGGGCAACUGGACAAGUACUGACGCUGAGGCACGAAAGCGUGGGGAGCGAACAGGAUUAGAUA
rnacentral:rRNA from 1 species